rnacentral:rRNA from 1 species
GAUGAACGCUGGCGGCGUGCCUAACACAUGCAAGUCGAGCGAUUUACUUCGGUAAAGAGCGGCGGACGGGUGAGUAACGCGUGGGUAACCUGCCCUGUACACACGGAUAACAUACCGCAAGGUAUGCUAAUACGAGAUAAUAUGCUUUUAUCGCAUGGUAGACGUAUCAAAGCUUUUGCGGUACAGGACGGACCCGCGUCUGAUUAGCUAGUUGGUAAGGUAACGGCUUACCAAGGCGACGAUCAGUAGCCGACCUGAGAGGGUGAUCGGCCCCCUUGGACCUGAGACACGGUCCAAACUCCUACGGUAGGAAGCAGUGGGGAAUAUUGCACAAUGGGCGAAAGCCUGCUGCAGCACCGCCGCGUGAGCGAUGAAGGCCUUCGGGUCGUAAAGCUCUGUCCUCAAGGAAGAUAAUGACGGUACUUGAGGAGGAAGCCCCGGCUAACUACGUGCCAGCCGCCGCCGUAA